rnacentral:lncRNA from 1 species
UUUUCCUCGUGUACCAAAUUGUUGCUAUUAUCAUUCUAAAUUUCUGCAUCUUGCGCACCUCCAAAAACCAGGCUACAGAGAGCUAAGGCAUAAUGAGGAUCGUUGGUAUCUUUGUAUUUUUCAACAUGCCAAAGCAGCACUAAUUGUCACAUUUAAGCAAGAUACAGUAUUAGGGGUUGCUUAAAACACUUGUGGAUGUAAAGCAGAUGAAUCUUUAAACUUUUAAUCUCAGUAAAUUACUCUCAGUGAACAAGCAAGAGAGGCCAACUUGAGGAGCAUGCACACUGUGAUACCCUCAGUGUGGCAGAGAUGUGGAAGAGUGUUUUGGGGCUGUGCAUCAAGGGGCACGAAAAAGGAACUUCAUUGGAUGGCAAAGAUGGCAAAGAUCCUGCCCUGACCCAUAGAUGGAGGAGACAACCCACCAAAGGUUUCUUUUCCGAUGUGUUCUCCUCCAGCCAGUGAAUUUUGUUUCACAGACCAGUGAAAGAAAAAUUAAAAUGAAAAAGGAAAAUGAAGAAGUUAAUGAUACCAGAUUUCAGCGAAGGUAAUAUAAUGAUCUUAAAUAACUUUUUUCUUUUUUUUUUUUGGUUAUACAGUAAAGCUAUU